CAAAUACUCCCUCCGUUCCAUAAUUCUUGUCGAAAUAUUACAUGUAUCUAGACGCUUCUUGGGAAUAGAUACAUCCAUUUUUGAGCAAAUUUGAGACAAGAAUUAUGGAACGGAGGGAAGGGAGUACAAA
rfam:Brachypodium distachyon strain Bd21 chromosome 4, whole genome shotgun sequence.